GUGCCAUAUUUAUGCCUUUUUUGCCUCUCUAAAUUUACCUAUUUUUGUUGGUUGAGGGAGCAGAACUAUUCCUAUCAAUAUGUCCCUCGCGUCCCCAAGUCUUAUUUGUGGGGGGUGUAUCGCUUCCAUUCAUUUUUCACUAGGUGAAAAAGAUGAAGCUGGCCAUAUACGAACCUGCUCCAAGCUGCAUCUUUCGGUGAGUCCCUCUGGCUAUUGUAAGCCGAAGAUUGCAGCUGUAGCAAAUAUUUGAAUACCCAAUGCAGAAGCCUAGCAAACAAGGCAGAAGUCUAUGAAAAUUUGCAAAUUUGGAUC